rnacentral:tRNA from 1 species
AGGGGCGAAGUGUCAAUGGUUGCACAUCAGAUUCCAAACCUGAGAGAGAGGGUUCGAUUCCUUCCGCCUCUGCCA